UGGGGAAUUUUGGACAAUGGGGGCAACCCUGAUCCAGCCAUGCCGCGUGAGUGAAGAAGGCCUUCGGGUUGUAAAGCUCUUUCGGCCGGGACGAAAUCGCACGGGUGAAUAUCCUGUGUGGAUGACGGUACCGGAAGAAGAAGCACCGGCUAACUACGUGCCAGCAGCCGCGGUAAUACGUAGGGUGCGAGCGUUAAUCGGAAUUACUGGGCGUAAAGCGUGCGCAGGCGGUUUUGUAAGCCAGAUGUGAAAUCCCCGGGCUUAACCUGGGAACUGCAUUUGGGACUGCAAGGCUUGAGUACGGCAGAGGGGGGUAGAAUUCCUGGUGUAGCAGUGAAAUGCGUAGAUAUCAGGAGGAAUACCGAUGGCGAAGGCAGCCCCCUGGGUCGAUACUGACGCUCAUGCACGAAAGCGUGGGGAGCAAACAGGAUUAGAUACCCCCGUAGUCC
rnacentral:rRNA from 1 species